rnacentral:rRNA from 1 species
CCUACGGGAGGCAGCAGUGGGGAAUAUUGCACAAUGGGGGAAACCCUGAUGCAGCGACGCCGCGUGAGUGAAGAAGUAAUUCGUUAUGUAAAGCUCUAUCAGCAGGGAAGAAAAUGACGGUACCUGAGCAAGAAGCCCCGGCUAACUACGUGCCAGUAGCCUCGGUAAUACGUAGGGGGCACGCGUUAUCCGGACUUACUGGGUGUAAAGGGAGCGUAGACGGCAGUGCAAGUCUGGAGCGAAAGGCGGGGGCUCAACGCCCGGACUGCUCUGGAAACUGUACGGCUGGAGUGCAGGAGAGGUAAGUGGAAUGCCUGGUGUAGCGGUGAAAUGCGUAGAUAUUAGAAGGAACACCGGUGGCGAAGGCGGCUUACUGAACUGUAACUGACGUUGAGGCUCGAAAGCGUGGGGAGCAAACAGGAUUAGAUACCCCUGUAGUC